rnacentral:rRNA from 1 species
CACUCUGGUAUUGAUUGGUGCUUGCAUCAUGAUUUACAUUUGAGUGAGUGGCGAACUGGUGAGUAACACGUGGGAAACCUGCCCAGAAGCGGGGGAUAACACCUGGAAACAGAUGCUAAUACCGCAUAACAACUUGGACCGCAUGGUCCGAGUUUGAAAGAUGGCUUCGGCUAUCACUUUUGGAUGGUCCCGCGGCGUAUUAGCUAGAUGGUGGGGUAACGGCUCACCAUGGCAAUGAUACGUAGCCGACCUGAGAGGGUAAUCGGCCACAUUGGGACUGAGACACGGCCCAAACUCCUACGGGAGGCAGCAGUAGGGAAUCUUCCACAAUGGACGAAAGUCUGAUGGAGCAACGCCGCGUGAGUGAAGAAGGGUUUCGGCUCGUAAAACUCUGUUGUUAAAGAAGAACAUAUCUGAGAGUAACUGUUCAGGUAUUGACGGUAUUUAACCAGAAAGCCACGGCUAACUACGUGCCAGCAGCCGCGGUAAUACGUAGGUGGCAAGCGUUGUCCGGAUUUAUUGGGCGUAAAGCGAGCGCAGGCGGUUUUUUAAGUCUGAUGUGAAAGCCUUCGGCUCAACCGAAGAAGUGCAUCGGAAACUGGGAAACUUGAGUGCAGAAGAGGACAGUGGAACUCCAUGUGUAGCGGUGAAAUGCGUAGAUAUAUGGAAGAACACCAGUGGCGAAGGCGGCUGUCUGGUCUGUAACUGACGCUGAGGCUCGAAAGUAUGGGUAGCAAACAGGAUUAGAUACCCUGGUAGUCCAUACCGUAAACGAUGAAUGCUAAGUGUUGGAGGGUUUCCGCCCUUCAGUGCUGCAGCUAACGCAUUAAGCAUUCCGCCUGGGGAGUACGGCCGCAAGGCUGAAACUCAAAGGAAUUGACGGGGGCCCGCACAAGCGGUGGAGCAUGUGGUUUAAUUCGAAGCUACGCGAAGAACCUUACCAGGUCUUGACAUACUAUGCAAAUCUAAGAGAUUAGACGUUCCCUUCGGGGACAUGGAUACAGGUGGUGCAUGGUUGUCGUCAGCUCGUGUCGUGAGAUGUUGGGUUAAGUCCCGCAACGAGCGCAACCCUUAUUAUCAGUUGCCAGCAUUAAGUUGGGCACUCUGGUGAGACUGCCGGUGACAAACCGGAGGAAGGUGGGGAUGACGUCAAAUCAUCAUGCCCCUUAUGACCUGGGCUACACACGUGCUACAAUGGAUGGUACAACGAGUUGCGAACUCGCGAGAGUAAGCUAAUCUCUUAAAGCCAUUCUCAGUUCGGAUUGUAGGCUGCAACUCGCCUACAUGAAGUCGGAAUCGCUAGUAAUCGCGGAUCAGCAUGCCGCGGUGAAUACGUUCCCGGGCCUUGUACACACCGCCCGUCACACCAUGAGAGUUUGUAACACCCAAAGUCGGUGGGGUAACCUUUUAGGAACCAGCCGCCUAAUGGGGGCGA